rnacentral:rRNA from 1 species
GAUGAACGCUGGCGGCGUGCCUAAUACAUGCAAGUCGAGCGAACGGACGAGAAGCUUGCUUCUCUGAUGUUAGCGGCGGACGGGUGAGUAACACGUGGAUAACCUACCUAUAAGACUGGGAUAACUUCGGGAAACCGGAGCUAAUACCGGAUAAUAUUUUGAACCGCAUGGUUCAACAUUGAAAGACGGUCUUGCUGUCACUUAUAGAUGGAUCCGCGCUGCAUUAGCUAGUUGGUAAGGUAACGGCUUACCAAGGCAACGAUGCAUAGCCGACCUGAGAGGGUGAUCGGACACACUGGAACUGAGACACGGUCCAGACUCCUACGGGAGGCAGCAGUAGGGAAUCUUGCGCAAUGGGCGAAAGCCUGACGGAGCAACGCCGCGUGAGUGAUGAAGGUCUUCGGAGCGUAAAACUCUGUUAUUAGGGAAGAACAUAUGUGUAAGUAACUGUGCACAUCUUGACGGUACCUAAUCAGAAAGCCACGGCUAACUACGUG